GACGAACUGUGCAAACGUUAUUCGGAAUCACUGGGCUUGAAGAGUGCGUAGGCGGUUUUGUAAGUAGGGUGUGAAAGCCCCCGGCUCAACCGGGGAAUUGCGCCUUAAACUGCAAGGCUGGAGUGAGGUAGGGGUGUGUGGAACUUCCAGUGGAGCGGUGAAAUGUGUUGAUAUUGGAAGGAACACCGGUGGCGAAAGCGGCGCGCUGGAUCUCUUCUGACGCUGAGGCGCGAAAGCCAGGGGAGCGAACGGG
rnacentral:rRNA from 1 species